UACGGAGGGUGCAAGCGUUAUCCGGAUUCACUGGGUUUAAAGGGUGUGUAGGCGGGUAGUUAAGUCAGUGGUGAAAUCUCCAGGCUCAACCUGGAAACUGCCAUUGAUACUAUCUAUCUUGAAUAUUGUUGAGGUAGGCGGAAUAAGUCAUGUAGCGGUGAAAUGCAUAGAUAUGACCCGGAACACCGAUUGCGAAGGCAGCCCGCUAAGCAACUAUUGACGCUGAGGCACGAAAGCGUGGGGAUCAAACAGG
rnacentral:rRNA from 1 species